rnacentral:rRNA from 1 species
AUUGAACGCUGGCGGCAUGCUUUACACAUGCAAGUCGAACGGUAACAGGGAGCUUGCUCCGCUGACGAGUGGCGAACGGGUGAGUAAUAUAUCGGAACGUACCCAAGAGUGGGGGAUAACGUAGCGAAAGUUACGCUAAUACCGCAUACGAUCUAUGGAUGAAAGCAGGGGACCUUCGGGCCUUGUGCUCCUGGAGCGGCCGAUAUCUGAUUAGCUAGUUGGUGAGGUAAAGGCUAACCAAGGCGACGAUCAGUAGCUGGUCUGAGAGGACGACCAGCCACACUGGAACUGAGACACGGUCCAGACUCCUACGGGAGGCAGCAGUGGGGAAUUUUGGACAAUGGGCGCAAGCCUGAUCCAGCAAUGCCGCGUGAGUGAAGUAGGCCUUCGGGUUGUAAAGCUCUCUUGUCAGGGAAGAAACGGGAGUGGCUAAUAUCCAAUCCUAAUGACGGUACCUGAAGAAUAAGCACCGGCUAACUACGUGCCAGCCGCCGCAGUAAGAC